UGUCUCUCUCUUCGUCACUUUACUCUGUAAUGCACUGUUUCUUCUCCACCCCACAGCUUUUUACUGUUGCCAUUGCGCCACCGUGAACACCAGUGAGCCACCUGCAUCGUCUUCACCUCCGUGCUUCUGCUAUCAGGGCCGCUACUUUUGCCAAAGUUGAAACCACAUCAGUUUUUCCAGAUGGAUGAUUACGAAAUUUAUUCUGAGAUUGAAGAAUAAGGAUAGCAAAUUUAUGCAUGUGUCUUCCUUCAAGGAUAACCAGCUUCUUUCCCCCCUGGUUAUUUUGGCAUCAUGGACAGGAAGGUAUGAAGCUCAUUUGUGGGACAAGAAUUGCUGGAAUGAAUCACAAAACAAGAAA